rnacentral:rRNA from 1 species
GACAUAGGUGGCGAACGUUAUCCGGAAUUAUUGGGUUUAAAGGGUGCGUAGGCGGUCUUUUAAGUCAGUGCUGAAAUACUCCAGCUUAACUGGAGGGGUGGCAUUGAUACUGGAAGACUUGAGUGCAGUCGAGGUAGGCGGAAUUGACGGUGUAGCGGUGAAAUGCUUAGAUAUCGUCAAGAACACCGAUAGUGAAGACGGCUUACUAGGCUGCAACUGACGCUGAGGCACGAAAGUGUGGGGAUCAAACAGG